AGCCUUCCGAAAGGGAGAUUAAUACCUGAUGGUGUUCAAAUUCCGCAUGUUAUUUGAACUAAAGGUUUUCCGGCCGCGGAUGAGGAUGCGUAUGAUUAGGUAGUAGGCGGGGUAACGGCCCACCUAGCCUUCGAUCAUUAGGGGUUCUGAGAGGAAGGUCCCCCCACACUGGAACUGAGACACGGUCCAGACUCCUACGGGAGGCAGCAGUGAGGAAUAUUGGUCAAUGGGCGAGAGCCUGAACCAGCCAAGUAGCGUGAAGGAUGACUGCCCUAUGGGUUGUAAACUUCUUUUGUUCGGGAAUAAAGUGCAGUACGUGUACUGUUUUGUAUGUACCGUUCGAAUAAGCAUCGGCUAAUUCCGUG
rnacentral:rRNA from 1 species